GAUGAACGCUGGCGGCGUGCCUAAUACAUGCAAGUCGAGCGAAUGGAUUAAGAGCUUGCUCUUAUGAAGUUAGCGGCGGACGGGUGAGUAACACGUGGGUAACCUGCCCAUAAGACUGGGAUAACUCCGGGAAACCGGGGCUAAUACCGGAUAACAUUUUGAACCGCAUGGUUCGAAAUUGAAAGGCGGCUUCGGCUGUCACUUAUGGAUGGACUCGCGUCGCAUUAGCUAGUUGGUGAGGUAACGGCUCACCAAGGCAACGAUGCGUAGCCGACCUGAGAGGGUGAUCGGCCACACUGGGACUGAGACACGGCCCAGACUCCUACGGGAGGCAGCCGUAGGGAAUCUUCCGCAAUGGACGAAAGUCUGACGGAGCAACGCAGCGUGAGUGAUGAAGGCUUUCGGGUCGUAAAACUCUGUUGUUAGGGAAGAACAAGUGCUAGUUGAAUAAGCUGGCACCUUGACGGUACCUAACCAGAAAGCCACGGCUAACUACGUGCCAGCCGCCGCGGUAA
rnacentral:rRNA from 1 species